GUCCUGAUUUACAUAAACUUCAGCCUUGAUUUUCUCGGCUUAAACAAUGUUUAUUUUUAAAAUUACUUUGCCAAUGAACUCAUAAGAUGGGUAAUUUUUAAAGUGCGAUAAAACAUUCCCAUCCGAUCUGUAUCUGAUAUACAAACUCUCGCCUUCGGCUCGAGUUUGUAUAUCAGAUACAGAUCGGCUGCUCAUGUUUUAUCUAGUAC